UUGGAUAUUUCCCAUGAUGCUCCUGCCGCUUUGAAAAUUACGUUUUAACAGUAUUUCCCUGUUGAGCUGUAAGCAACGUCUUUGUGGUCUUUCACUCUGAGCUUGACUAAUGAUCGCCUUGCCAAGACAUUUAACCCCAGACUAUCUGUCUUCUCGCUAAGGAUAGAAAAGUCUCUGAACCAUGAAAUAGAACCGGUUGUACUCCACAAUGGCUAUAGCGUUUUCACCAUGCGCCGGAAUAAAUACUUUAGAUUCCGUUAUUAAAGUAGGAAUCCGCAGGUCGUGGAUGACCCCAAAAUAAAAAAGGAUCAAUCCAGAAACACUGGAAUUAAUUUAGAAAGAUGGAAGAGUGAUGCUGAAAUGGCCACCGUUCUCAUGGAUUGGUAGCAUCAACACUGCCAGAGUAACAGAACCAUGGAUGACUUGGCCUACUUCCUGCAUGUUAAAAAAUGAAACACAUAAAUCUCUGUUAUGUAAAAAUCCACGUUUUCAUUUUAAUUCACAAUUAAAAAUUUUACAAGGUAAAA